rnacentral:misc_RNA from 1 species
GAAAUGCGAUAAGUAAUGUGAAUUGCAGAAUUCAGUGAAUCAUCGAAUCUUUGAACGCACAUUGCGCUCGCCAGUAUUCUGGCGAGCGUGCCUGUUCGAGCGUCAUUUCAACCAUCAAGCUCUGCUUGCGUUGGGGAUCCGCGGCUGCCCGCGGUCCCUCAAAAACAGUGGCGGGCUCGCUAGUCACACCGAGCGUAGUAACUCUACAUCGCUAUGGUCGUGCGGCGGGUUCUUGUCGUAAAACCCCCAAUUUCUAAGGUUGACCUCGGAUCAGGUAGGAAUACCCGCUGAACUUAAGC